UACAGAGGGUGCGAGCGUUAAUCGGAAUUACUGGGCGUAAAGCGCACGUAGGUGGCGACGUAAGUCGGGUGUGAAAGCCCCGGGCUCAACCUGGUAAUUGCAUUCGAGACUGCAUUGCUGGAGUACGGAAGAGGAGGGCGGAAUUCCCGGUGUAGCGGUGAAAUGCGUAGAUAUCGGGAGGAACAUCAGUGGCGAAGGCGGCCCUCUGGUCCAGUACUGACACUCAAGUGCGAAAGCGUCGGGAGUAAACAUG
rnacentral:rRNA from 1 species